CGAUUAAGCCAUGCAAGUCAUAUGUUCCUCGUGAACAUGGCAUACUGCUCAGUAACACGUGGAUAACCUGCCCUUGGGUCUGGGAUAACCCCGGGAAACUGGGGAUAAUACCGGAUAACGCAUAUGUGCUGGAAUGCUUUAUGCGUAAAACGGAUUCGUCCGCCCAAGGAUGGGUCUGCGGCCUAUCAGGUAGUAGUGGGUGUAAUGUACCUACUAGCCAACAACGGGUACGGGUUGUGAGAGCAAGAGCCCGGAGAUGGAUUCUGAGACAUGAAUCCAGGCCCUACGGGGCGCAGCAGGCGCGAAAACUUUACAAUGCGGGAAACCGUGAUAAGGGAACACCGAGUGCCAGCAUCAUAUGCUGGCUGUCCAGAUGUGUAAACUACAUCUGUUAGCAAGGACCGGGCAAGACCGGUGCCAGCCGCCGCGGUAACACCGGCGGCCCGAGUGGUGACCGUUAUUAUUGGGUCUAAAGGGUCCGUAGCCGGUUUGGUCAGUCCUCCGGGAAAUCUGAUAGCUUAACUGUUAGGCUUUCGGGGGAUACUGCCAGGCUUGGAACCGGGAGAGGUAAGAGGUACUACAGGGGUAGGAGUGAAAUCUUGUAAUCCCUGUGAGACCACCUGUGGCGAAGGCGUCUCACCAGAACGGGUUCGACGGUGAGGGACGAAAGCUGGGGGAGCAAACCGGAUUAGAUACCCGGGUAGUCCCAGCCGUAAACUAUGCGCGUUAGGUGUAUCGGUGACCACGAGUUACCGAGGUGCCGAAGGGAAACCGUGAAACGUGCCGCCUGGGAAGUACGGUCGCAAGGCUGAAACUUAAAGGAAUUGGCGGGGGAGCA
rnacentral:rRNA from 1 species